CAUCUUUUUAGGUAAUGGUGAAAUUAUAUUAGGAAUAAUAAAUUUAUUCACUUUUAAAGAAAAACAUCAAGUGUUAUUACUUUCGUGGGAAAAUGGGAAAGUUAUUCACUUCAACCAAAGCGCAAAGAUGUUUAUAACGUCUUUAUUAGGAUGAAUUUUUAUCAUUUGAUCACCAAUAGGCACGGCCAGGCAUCUCUUUUCACGAUCAGUCAACGGGACGUCGAGCGGUUCCUCGACGUCGUGAAUCAAUGCCAGAAUAGGCAGAGCUAAACCGCCGGUAACGUCCGU